AGUAGCGGCGAGCGAACAGGGAAGAGUCCAGCACCGAACCCCGCAGGCUGCCGCCUGUCGUGGCAUGUGGUGUUUGGGAGGGUCCACUACCCCGACGCCUCGCGCCGAGUCCAAGUCCAACUUGAAUGAGGCCACGGCCCGUAGAGGGUGCCAGGCCCGUAGCGGCCGGUGCGAGCGUCGGCGGGACCUCUCCUUCGAGUCGGGUUGCUUGAGAGUGCAGCUCCAAGUGGGUGGUAAACUCCAUCUGAGACUAAAUAUGACCACGAGACCGAUAGCGAACAAGUACCGUGAGGGAAAGUUGAAAAGAACUUUGAAGAGAGAGUUCAAAAGUACGUGAAACCGUUCUGGGGUAAACGUGAGAAGUCCGAAAGGUCGAACGGGCGAGAUUCACGCCCAUCCGGCCACUGGCCCCCGCCCUCGGCAGAUGGGGCCGGCCGCCCGCGCGGAGCAAUCCGCGGCGGGGUCGUGUCCGGUUGCCUUUCCACUCGCCGCGGGGCGGGGCCGUUCCAGUGUGCGGUGGGCCGCACUUCUCCCCUAGUAGGACGUCGCGACCCGCUGGGUGCCGGCCUACGGCCCGGGUGCGCAGCCUGUCCUUCCGUGGGCCUCGGUUCGCGUCUGUAGGGCAGAGCCCCGGUGUCCCGGCUGGCUGCUCGGCGGUACAUCUCGAGGAGUCGAUUCGCCAAACUAUCCGUUUGGGCGCCCGGGCUCCCGGCAAGCGCGCGCGGUUCUUCCCGGAUGACGGACCUACCUGGCCCGGCCCCGGACCCGCGCCGCUGUUGGCUCGGGAUGCUCUCGGGCGGAAUAAUCGCUCCCGUCAGCGGCGCUUCAGCUUUGGACAAUUUCACGACCCGUCUUGAAACACGGACCAAGGAGUCUAACAUGUGCGCGAGUCAUUGGGCUGUACGAAACCUAAAGGCGUAAUGAAAGUGAAGGUCUCGCCUUGCGCGGGCCGAGGGAGGAUGGGGCUUCCCCGCCCUUCACGGGGCGGCGGCCUCCGCACUCCCGGGGCGUCUCGUCCUCAUUGCGAGGUGAGGCGCACCUAGAGCGUACACGUU
rnacentral:rRNA from 1 species